rnacentral:tRNA from 1 species
GAUAGUGAUGGCUGAGUGGCUUAAAGCACCUGACUGAAGAUCAGGCAGCCGGUUAACCCGACUCGGGGGUUCGAAUCCCCCUCACUCCG